UGACGUCAUUCCAGAUAACUUCAUCUGCAAUUUAUAGUACUACAUACAGUAGUACUGUCACUUUAAAAAAAUGAGCCAGCACUUUGUCAUGUGCUUGUGUUGGGCUGGGUGUGUAUACACUGAAGCUGUAUUCUCCAUUUUGUGGAUUGCUGGUACAAGCGUCUCCUUCCUCAUUCAUACACCAGAACACUACUAGACACUGAGAGGUUAAACCAAAAUCAGAUACCUACGUGGACUACGCUAAAGAACUCUGCCACAGAUAACCAAUGUCAGUGGAAGACCAAGAGGCACAAGUGGAUGAACUAUUUGCCCUUGCUAGUAUUUACUCUGAAGACGAAUAUAAGAGGACAGAUGCUGCUCCAGGAGGGGAAAUUCAUUUGUGUCUAGAGUUACCUUCAGAUUUUGUAGUAUCUAUAAAAAGCAACAGUGCCACAAACUCCUUUGCAGACAACUUUGAGAACACCGUGUCCUUUCUGCCAUCAAUCGUCUUGAACUUUGAACUUCCUCCCGGAUAUCCAUCCACUUCACCCCCGAACUUCACGUUAAGCUGCAAGUGGCUUUCUCCAGCACAGCUUACUCUGUUAUGCCAGCGUUUAGAUGACCUAUGGGAGGAGAACAAGGGAUCCGUUGUCUUGUUUCGAUGGAUUCAGUUUCUAAAUGAGGAGACACUCGAUUACUUAAACAUAAAAUCUCCAUAUGAAAUUGAGGUGUCCAGUAAUGGUUUACAGGACUGGAGUCAAUCCCCUGAAAAGACCCUUGAUAAUGGGGUCUUAUCGGAAAGGGAGGCAUUGGACAGACGGGGUAUACAGGAUGUGCAGUCAGUGUCUGCUCUAGUUAAAUGUAUUCUGGACUUCAAUGAAGCUCAACAGAAGAAGGCUUUUGAUCGGAAACUAUUCUUAUGCAACAUCUGUUUUAUGGAGAAGUUGGGCAGUGACUGCACCCACUUUAAAGCAUGCGAGCAUGUAUACUGUAACCCCUGUCUUAAAGAAUACUUUGAAGUCCAGAUUAAGGACGGACAAGUCCAUGCCCUGAACUGUCCUGACCCAGAGUGCUCGUCUGUUGCAACGCAUGCUCAGGUAAAGGAUCUGGUUGGGGAGCAGCUUUUCAGCCGUUAUGAUGAAUUCCUCCUGCGAUCAAGCCUGGAAUUAAUGCCUGAUAUUGUUUACUGCCCCCGACCAAGCUGCCAGACACCAGUCAUGCAAGAGCCAGACAAAAGAAUGGGAAUUUGUUCAGCCUGCCAAUAUGCGUUUUGUGUCUACUGCAAAUUGGGCUUCCAUGGAUUCUACCCUUGCGUAGUAUCUAAAGCAAGACUUCUCGAAUUGGCUGAAGAGUAUUUUGCUGCGAACGCAAAAAAAAAGAAAGAAAUGUUGAUGAGAUAUGCAGGGCUUGGGACUGUUGAAGAUAUGAAGAAUAAGGAGUGGAUAAAGGAGAACUCAAAGCCCUGCCCUAGCUGUAAAAGUCCCAUUCAGAAAAAUGAUGGCUGUAACAAGAUGACUUGCACUGCGUGUAAGCAGUUCUUCUGCUGGAUGUGUAUGACGAUCCUGCCUCAAGUGGACCCAUAUAAACAUUAUGCGGAUCCUGCAGAGUGUAGAAAUCGGUGCAUCUUAUGGUCAGGUACAUCUUAUGGAGCGAAAAAUACGGUAUGUUAUAAAAGAGUAGAUAACAUGUAAAAGUACCUUCUUAGUGUAUUUCAUGCUGUGUAGUUGCCAUAGAUUUUAUAUAGGUAAAACUGAGAGGCAACUUCGUACUAGGAUACGGGAACAUUUAUACUCCAUAAGAAAAGGAGGAGGUUCCCCGAGAUUUGUACAACACAUGCAGGAAAUCCACGGAGAUAACUAUGAGCAACUAAGGUUUGGAGGUUUGGAACAGAUUGCUGAAUUCCAUAACAGAAGUCGUUCAUUGCUUCAAGCUGAAGACCGUUGGAUUCUACGUCUGGAAGCCCAGGGCCCAUAAGGUUUGAACGACAGGCUAGACAUGUCUCCGUUCCUAUAAUCCACUCCUUCAUUUUGUUUAUUUAUAGUAUGUUUGCUACAGGUUGUCCGCUUUAUAAAUCCCCUAAUGAUGAAUAUUUUGUAUAUUACUUAGUUUUUCUAUUUUUCAAGCUCUUUUGUAUGUUUUACCUGCACCUGUGACGUACGUCUCUUGAUUACAUGAACAUCACCUUGCACUAUAUCUUUUGCAUGGCACGAUGACGUUAACGAGGCCGGAAGAAGCGCAUAAUCUGUGCGUGAAACCGCUGGAAGACACUUCUGAGCGCCCCACGCCAAGCACACCUGCCAGUCAGAUGGAUUACUCCUGAGGAGCCGGACACAUUGAAUCCGAGCGGACUGAGCACCACUAUCAAGAUGACUGUUAUUUAUCCCUUACCAGAUUCCCGCCGAAGCCGAAUCCACCAAUCAAGAGACGCUCCAAUCUGCCCAGCAACAGCCGGCCCCU